rnacentral:lncRNA from 1 species
AUGGGAGAAUUGAGCCCUUUAUGGCCAAAGCCAUGGCCAAGCCCAGUUUCUGGAUGAAAGGAUUCUGUCAAGAGCUGAAGGUCUCUCCACUGCCGCAGUCGCUCCCACAGGCAUCUUCUUCUGUCUCUCAGUUCACUAGGACAUUUUGACCCAGGUGCCAGCAUGUGUCAGGCUUUGCAGGCUCACAGCCUCAGUUAGAGCUGAGUGGGAAGAUGUAGACAGCACCCUCCCACAGCAAGCCAAAUUAAUCCCUGAGGUUACAGCAUUUUACUAAAUAGAUUCACUGAGCAGGAUGUGAAGUUAUGUCUCAGGUCUCAUCGGGGUUGUCAGUUCCCUCACUGCAAGGUUGGCAAAGUUACCCACAUUGGAGGUGGGGGACAGCUACAAAGAAGGAUGGUUCAAAACCUGAGUUCCCAUGCUUUUAGAGGCUCAGUUAUGGACAUGCUAUAUAUAAGUAUGAGAUUCUCAUGCUUUACAGGCAUAAACCUACCAGGCUGAUGAGGUGCAGCAACUGACAGCAUCUAGGAAACAUCCCCAGAACACCACAAAAAAUCUGCACUCCUGAUUUUGAGAGAUGUUGUGAUGCGUGGCCCAAAGGAAGCAUCCCUGCACCCAAGGAACAAGCCACUGCAUUUGUUGACAGUUUACAUGGUACACAGGAGGGAACUCUGCCCUGGGCAGGUGCUUGCCAUUGCUGUAUGUGCAGUCACAGUAAAUCCACGAACCACAGCCCUGACAGGUAAGAUGUCAGACUGGUCACUUUUGAAGGAAUGUUCUUUUAUGUGGUUGUAUGAUGUGAAAUCCUUGCAUCACGACAUCACUGUGGUCCACCUUGAGAAUAGGCACUUUCACAUUUCUCAUCUUUCACCAUCACUCAGGUUUCCCCACACGCGUUCAUGUGCACCUUUACAAGAGUAAGAAAAUGCUCUUGUGAAGUUGUUUAGAAAUCUCCAGUGCUGCUAACAUAGCAGGGUAAUAAAAUAUCUUUAAAAAGAGACA